AUUGAACGCUGGCGGCAGGCCUAACACAUGCAAGUCGAGCGGAUGAAGGGAGCUUGCUCCUGGAUUCAGCGGCGGACGGGUGAGUAAUGCCUAGGAAUCUGCCUGGUAGUGGGGGAUAACGUCCGGAAACGGGCGCUAAUACCGCAUACGUCCCGAGGGAGAAAGUGGGGGAUCUUCGGACCUCACGCUAUCAGAUGAGCCUAGGUCGGAUUAGCUAGUUGGUGGGGUAAAGGCCUACCAAGGCGACGAUCCGUAACUGGUCUGAGAGGAUGAUCAGUCACACUGGAACUGAGACACGGUCCAGACUCCUACGGGAGGCAGCAGUGGGGAAUAUUGGACAAUGGGCGAAAGCCUGAUCCAGCCAUGCCGCGUGUGUGAAGAAGGUCUUCGGAUUGUAAAGCACUUUAAGUUGGGAGGAAGGGCAGUAAGUUAAUACCUUGCUGUUUUGACGCUACCAACAGAAUAAGCACCGGCUAACUUCGUG
rnacentral:rRNA from 1 species